AUUCAAAAGAUCGCGAAGCCAUAAAAAAUUAAUUGUUAACUUAAUGUUGCUUUCUGCACCGGCUUUACAGAAGCAAUUAAAUGAUGCCGUUAACAAUUGGUAACACAAUUUCCCCAAGAAGUGGCCUUAUCUUAUAGAUGAAAUGGUAGAGAAAUUUUCUACUGGUGAUUUUAACGCUAUAAACGGUGUGCUUCAAACUGCUCAUUUACUAUUCAAACAAUAUCGUUACGAAUUUAAAUCUCAAACUCUGUGGGAAGAAAUAAAAUUUGUACUAGAUCGCAUAUCCAAGCCCUUAGUUCGCUUCUCUACGCUGUUCCUAUAACCCCCUUUAUGAACAGGGACGAGAAAACUACUGUUCUAGUACGCUGGGAACACCAUUGUUUUUAACGAUAGGCUGAAAAUACGCGCUAUAGCCACACAGAGUUCAUCAGCAUAGGCAACAAGUAUACAGGAUUGGAUUCCAUCCGGGCCUGAAGAACAACUUCUUCUUCAUGGUGCUGUUCUACGUCGAACUUCGUCAUUGGAAAUAAUAAUGUUUGGAAUAAAGAUCCUAUCAUCUAAGUUAAACGCCCUGGACAUUGCUGCGAAAAACGAGCACGCAACAACAACCGGGCAUUCAACGGCCCAUAAGAGACUGUGCUAAAUAAACUACCGCAACGUGAUCGCGUAAAAACCGUUGCGCGAAAGCAGAUACAAGGAAAUGAUGAGGCGAAUUGGCGGUUACAACCUCGGUGAAGUUGUAAGUAGGGUGUGAAACGAUCAAAAGACUUUUGUAAUGAUACAGCAGAUGUUCAAGAUCGGAGAGCGAAGCGAGUAGUUAGUAGUUAAACUAAGUGAAAAUGAAUAGUGCUCCAGUGGGCUACGCUGCCGUAACCACUAAGACAACCGAAUCUGAAUGAAUAAAACCGCCACCAGUUUGUUUAUUAGAAAAACACAAAAAAUUUGAACUUUUUGCCGUAUGAAUAAAACCCCCACCAGUUUGUUUACUGGAAAAACACAAGAAAUUUGAGCAUUUAAGAUAGCAAUAGACGGGUGUGUACCACGCCUUCGUCGACUGACCGCUUACUAUAGCUACUAAAGUAAAGUUUACCGCCGUGAGAUUUGAAUGCGCGUACAUUAACCUUAUGAUUCCGGUUUUUGGAAUAUCCAAAUACUAAUUUUACAAUCCUACACUCUUUGGGAGCUGAUAAACCCGCGGUUUGUCCUUUAUUCCCUGCAAUUGUGUUGAAAGACAUUUUUGUAUAAAAUGUAUUUAAUUUAAAAUUAAUGCCAACAAAUAUCGUUUAGUGUUUCAAACUAUUACCUGUACCGAUGGUGGAGUUCAUAAUUUGACAGUCAUCAAUGAAGGCAACACCAUUCAAGACUUCACCCAAGAUAGCCCUUGCGAUUUUGCACUUGCUUGUAUUGUGUAAAACUGCGAUUGCUUGGGGUAUUGUUCUUCAGGUGUAUUACAUCAGAACCCCUUAAAGAUGGCAGGUGCGCGGUAAGAGGUGUCAAUUGAGAAAUGCGAGCUUUACAUCAUCACAAAGACACAAAUGGAUGGCAGUAAAUCGGUCGGGGUGAGUUCACAUGUAGUGAUCGAUGUUCCGUCUGGAGGAGCGAGCAGCUGCGAAAAAUAAUAAUCUUGAAACUGACUGUAAUGUACUAGCUGCAGCCACUCAAGUUGUUGUAAGUAUGGAGUUGAAUCGGGCUGCUUAUGACACGUUAAAAAAUGUUUAUCUUAUGGUGAAAAUGAUGAGAAAAAUUUCUCCGGAAUCAGGUAAGAGAAACGAGCUAAUAUGCAAAAAAUGCAGCUAAUGUACACGUUUUUGCUACUAAUCAGGACAUACUCUGGUCGCUGCUACGUCUUCUAUCUCACUUUUUAUUCCAUAAUGAAAGCAUUAAGCUGGUACAAACUUUGAAAGUUGGGAUUUCAAUAUGGGAAUUAGGCCAAGGUUAAAAUUAUUUUUAUGAACUCUUUUGAUUGACUUCUAUAAGAAACGAAAAGAAAGAAGGGGCAACUUAAUAACUAUUUGCAAUGCAGCCAAUGUCAAUCUAUGAGAGGUCGCUUUUGUGUUUGUUAUUGAACACUUUCUCAAAGGGCUAAAUACUAAAUGCAAACCCUUUGAAUGAGAAACAACAAAUUUCGACUUAAAUGUGAUAAUGUACAUCGAUUAAAAUCAAAGAAGGCUUGGGAAAAAAUCUAAAUUUUAUCAUUACGCCCGUGAAAUACCUUGCAACGAACUGAGUGAUUCUGCGAAGAAAUUUCUAAUCCAUCUAAGCACGGAUUUGUACUACUUUAACAGACUCCGUGAGGAAAUCUUUCGUUUAACAACAAUUCUGUGCUCUUUUUAUAUAUAUGGCACUACGACUUCCUCAUCGACGCCCCGUCUUCCUAGAAGGCGGUGCUUACUACUGUCUUCGCCGUUGGAAGUGUUUCUCUGCGUAACGUUGAACUACAUUUCGCAAUGUUACGACUUCUUUGACUACACAGUAAAUACAGCAAGCACAGAUGGAGAUAGGACAGCAGGACAUAGAUUUGGGAGAAGUACCGAUGGAGAUAGGACAGCAGGAUAUAGAUUUUGGAGAAGUACCGGUAGAAAUAAUAGAUUGUGGAGGAGUACCGGUAGACGAAGAAGAACAGGUGAGCACCGAGUACGAAGAAUUUUUAGGAUUUACCGAUACAGACAGCAUAGUUUCACAUAAAAAAGUUGCAGGGGAUCAAACGGAGGGACAGACGGACAGCAAACUUAGCACAGAAAGCCCCAAUAUUAUAAAUUUAGAUUAUAAUGUAAAAGAUGACGAGGGACCGUCAACAUCGGCGGCGGCAGCAGGGAGGGGAAGGAUCAACGCCUUGAACCAGAAGGCCAGGAAGUAGAAAAAGCUGAGAGAGUGGUGCCGGACAUUGAGGCCGUGAGGAAAUUGACUCGAAGAAUCGGGCUUGGAGAACCACAAAUAAACGGUAAAUUCAAAUUUUUUACUUUAGAUAAAGAAGUCCACCCGCAAAAUUAAGAUUAACGUAAGAUUCCGUGCAUGCCAAAGUUUAAAAAGCAGGCAUACACCUCCGCUCAUCGUUUCAGCAAAUGCGAUACCUCCGUAGGCCAAAAGAUGUCAAUUUAAACUGAAUUUUCUGAUUUUUUUUCUUUAUAUUUUUGGUUCAUUUUAAUUAAAUAAUUUGUAAAAAUGACAACCAUGUGAGA